AGAGCUGUGGUUUGCUUAUAAAGACAGUGGAGGAGACAGGAAGUGUAGCGCGUGAGAUCCGUGACCUUGAGGACCAGAUCGACUCCGAGAGCAAGAACAAGACAAUAGCUAACCUAGAAAAAAUCUCAGAGGAUUAUGUGCAGAUGAAAAAA